CGGGGGGCCCGCACAAGCGGUGGAGCAUGUGGUUUAAUUCGANGCAACGCGCAGAACCUUACCCAGGCUUGACAUCCCCCUGACAACCCUUGAAAGAGGGCCUUCCCUUUUGGGACAGGGUGACAGGUGCUGCAUGGCUGUCGUCAGCUCGUGUCGUGAGAUGUUGGGUUAAGUCCCGCAACGAGCGCAACCCUUACCUCUAGUUGCCACCAUUUAGUUGGGCACUCUAGAGGGACUGCCUCGGUUAACGAGGAGGAAGGUGGGGACGACGUCAAGUCCUCAUGGCCCUUAUGCCUGGGGCUACACACGUGCUACAAUGGCCGGCACAAAGGGCAAGCAACCCCGCAAGGGUGAGCAAAUCCCAAAAAACCGGUCUCAGUCCGGAUUGGAGUCUGCAACUCGACUCCAUGAAGUUGGAAUCGCUAGCAAUCGCGGAUCAGCACGCCGCGGUGAAUACGUUCCCGGGCCUUGUACACACCGCCCGUCACACCACGAAAGCUGGCUGUACCAGAAGUAGCUGGGCCAACACUUCGGGGAGGCAGGUCCUAAGGUAUGCUGUA
rnacentral:rRNA from 1 species